GUAAGAGACAUACAUCCAACUAUAAAUAUGCUCUAAUAAUAUUUGAGAUUUUAUCGCAUACACUGGUCUUAGACUUUUUCCCCAGUUUAUCAGACACUUUGUGCUCGGUUUAGUACAAAGGCGUGUUUUUCUUCACUAAAAGCCUCACAGUGUGUUGAAAUAAACAUUCCUCACAACUCAUUGUUGACAGCAGAUCGUUAGUGUUAGUCUUUUAUAUGUUUUGACUGAUGUCUGCCUUCAUGAAAUAUUGAUUAGUAAGGUGGUUAUUAUCAUCCCCGCAUUGUUGCACAGACUUAGGCCUACUUAUUAUAGAAAGUGUCAGACUUUACUGUCAUGAUAAUUUGCUGUUUAUAGUCUCAUGUAACUGACAGAAUAGUGAAUAUAGGCUAUUGCAAAAUAAUAUGCUGCAACCUUAUGAUUUUUAUAUACAUAAUAUCUCACAUAUUUAUUUUCUAUAGUGAACACAUUUUGACAGUCCUGUCAAAGAUUUGAAAUAACGCCUCUGUGAAAAAAAGCAUAAAAAAAACAAUGUGCUUUUAGUGCGCCAUCUUGUGUCUAAAAUGGUAAGCGCAGCGUAUUAGGCCGGUUUGGCCAAGCUUUAGACAAUUAAAUCAAACACGCAAGUGAAAACUCUUUUAAAUUUGUGCACCCUCUUUUGAUAUUAACAUACACUAAAUCAGAGAUGAUUGUCAGGCUUUGGCUCAUGUCUCUCCUCAAACAGUCAUGCUGGGAGUCCUUCACGUCCUCAGGUGUUUCAGAUUAGGGUGUGGGGAUGUGGAGGAACGCCAGUGCUGAACUCAUCCAAGCUUUGACUGGGAACACAUUUUCAAUAUGUUCAAGAAUUUCAUCUCAUUUUUGCAGGCUCGAUUCAUCUCUUUCUUUUUGGAGAGGCCUUUAAUAAAUAAAGCACCUCCAGAUUCCCUUUUUAUUGUCUGGUGCUUUUCAU